UUUGCUGAUCGAUAACGCCGUAAAUGCCGGUGGCGCCCCGAAAUUGACGGGCGAUGCCGUUGCUCAGGGGGUGAGCGAGCGAUACCCCGCUGGGGUCGAAUCUCUGGUGGUCGAACAUUCCAAAAUGAUGCCAUGCGCCCAACCNNNNNAGCGAGUCCCUCAGCAUCCUUUCCCUGAUUAUAGCGGUAUUGAAUCUCACCCAUCAGCAAUGGCGGGUCGUUGACCCGAAAAUUGGUCCCGGUGCGGUUGAUGGUUCCUUGGUCGCCGGGGUUCCCGUUGAAUAGUGCGAGCAG
rnacentral:misc_RNA from 1 species